CGCACUCGCAUAUUUACUAUCAGUGAUCAAAAAAGAAUCUAAUGCAGCGCUCUGUGAAUAAUUUAAAUACCAGUAUACCAUCAAUAUCAGGCAGAUUCGAGGGUCCACACCGGCUGCACCAAAGUUGGACAGCACUGAAAGGCAAAGCAGUAUUUCAGCACAAGUCUCACACACGAGCAAGGUACGACUGAUGAAGAGCCCUUCAUUGACACCCAGUAGUUUCAAGAUAUUUGUAGGUCCAACAUGCAAAAGGGCUGACCGCUGAAUGGGUAUGUGCAGGCCAUCGGAUCGCCAGUUUUCUGUCAUAUCAGCAGCAUCCCAGCGAUCGUCUUUGACAUUCAGGCAAAGAUGGCUCUCGGCACAGCAUGAUAUAAAUGAGAAAGUUGGGCAGCUGCGAUCAUGGUUC
rnacentral:lncRNA from 1 species